rnacentral:rRNA from 1 species
GAUAAACGCUGGCGGCGCACAUAAGACAUGCAAGUCGAACGGACUUAACUCAUUCUUUUAGAUUGAGAGCGGUUAGUGGCGGACUGGUGAGUAACACGUAAGCAACCUGCCUAUUAGAGGGGAAUAACAGUGAGAAAUCAUUGCUAAUACCGCAUAUGCUAACAGUAUCGCAUGAUACAGUUAGGAAAGGAGUAAUCCGCUAAUAGAUGGGCUUGUGUCUGAUUAGAUAGUUGGUGGGGUAACGGCCUACCAAGUCGACGAUCAGUAGCCGGACUGAGAGGUUGAACGGCCACAUUGGGACUGAGAUACGGCCCAGACUCCUACGGGAGGCAGCAGUCGGGAAUAUUGCGCAAUGGAGGAAACUCUGACGCAGUGACGCCGCGUAUAGGAAGAAGGUUUUCGGAUUGUAAACUAUUGUCGUUAGGGAAGAUACAAAGACAGUACCUAAGGAGGAAG